rnacentral:rRNA from 1 species
CUGUAGUAGGUCCCAAGGGUUGGGCUGUUCGCCCAUUAAAGUGGUACGCGAGCUGGGUUCAGAACGUCGUGAGACAGUUCGGUCCCUAUCCGUCGCAGGCGUAGGAAAUUUGAGAAGACCUGUCCUUAGUACGAGAGGACCGGGAUGGACGUACCUCUGGUGUACCAGUUGUUCUGCCAAGGGCAUGGCUGGGUAGCUAUGUACGGAAUGGAUAAGCGCUGAAAGCAUCUAAGCGCGAAGCCAACUUCAAGAUAAGAUUUCCCACCGCAAGGGUAAGACCCCAGAAAGACUAUCUGGUUGAUAGGUCGAAGGUGUAAGUGCAGCAAUGUAUUUAGCUUAUCGAUACUAAUAGGUCGAGGACUUGACCAAU